GAAAGCCGCAAGAGUCCCGCCCCGUGCCUGAGGCCCGGGGCUGGCCGGGCCUGCGCUGUAGUGGGCUGAUCCCGGCCUCUAGGGCGCGUCCUGGGCGGCGACUCUAUUCCCGCGUGCGGGCCUGGGAAAGGCUAGCCAGUUUUGAAAGAGUGGUCCUAAUUCUGCCAGGCUGCAGAUUCCUGCGUGAAGCUGGGGGAGCUUGGCGACUGACCCAGGAUAUAGAAGGCGCUCUGGGUAGGCCGCGCUCCGCCACGAGGGUACCCAGCCCUCUGGGAUAGAUGCAGGAACAGAUGGCUGAGACCCAUUUUCACCCUACUUCUUCUCGCCCCAGCUCUGGCUUACCACCCGCUCCUCCCCAUUUCCAAAGAGCCGCUUUUUGCAGCACCAAACACACCAGUGCUUUGUAGAGGAAUCUAAUUGUCCACCCCGCGUCUUGGCAAAAGAACAGUAAUCACACAGAUCCCUGCUUGGGCUCUUUCAUCUUCUGAAGCUGUUUGCCCAACUCAGAGAUGAAGAAGACACCUCCUAUCCACGUAUUAAAAAAAAUCCAACAUUGGUCACAGACUCUCCUUGGGAAGACAGUCUUCCCUUGGUGUCUGGUCAAUAGCAGGAUGCCCGCCUUGUCCUUUCACCAGUCAUAUGGCCCAGGACCCCAGGUGGGGACACCCACUGGGGAUCCUAGUGGUUGCUCUCCUCCUCGUCUCUUUCUCCCCAACCCUCUCUGGUCUAUCAUGAGCAACCUUCUUCCCUCCAUCCCUCCCUCUUCCCCUUUGGCCUGUGUCCUCAAGAACCUUAAACCCCUUUAGUUUUUAUCUGAACUAAAACCAAAAUGUCUAAUUUUUUUCUGUAACAUGGCCUGGCCUCAAUAUAAAGUAGACAAUGGCUCCCACUGGCCAGAAAAUGGCACUUUUGAUUUCUCUAUUUUGUGGAACAUAAACAAUUUUUGUCAUAGAAUGAGCAAAUGGUCUGAAGUACCCUACAUUCAGGCAUUUUUUACACUCCAGUCUCCCCCUAAUUUCUGCUCUCAGUGUAACCCACCCCAAAUUUUCCUUCUCUCCCUUCCAUCCAUACCUCCUGCCUCUGCCAAUGACACAGAAUCCUCCUUGUCCAUUGACCCUUCCGACCUUUCUCCUCCCUGCCUGUCUGAACAAGGCCCUAAUCCCCCCUCCCCGAGACUUUCUCUUCUUCCUCUGCCUGCAACCCACCUCCUUAUGCCUCUCCCAUCACCACCCCACCUCAUACCAAGUCCGGCUUAUAAUUUGGUCUGGCACCCAUGGCUAACUCCCCCUCCCCGUCCAACAGUUUCGCCUUCACAAGGUGCCUGGCGACACAGGAAUAGUCCAGUUGCACGUCCCUUUUUCUCUAUCUGACCUCUCCCAAAUCGGUCAAUGUCUAGGCUCUCCCCUCAGACACCACCAAGUAUAUAUAUAUAAGAAUUCCAAUACUUAACCCAGUCUUAUAUCUCACCUGGAGUGACUUAAAUGUCAUCCUUACUUCUACUCUCACCCCAGAAGAAUGAGAAUGGGUUUGGACCCUAGUUCAGUCUUACACAGAUGAUUGCUGGCACCUUGAGCCUGGCCUUCGGGAAGGUGCCAGGGCAGCACCCUGAGAAGACCCCCAAUAGGACUACCAGACAGGAACCCCUGGCAUUGCCAGCUGAGAUUACAUGAUCUCCUGUCUAGUUGAAGGGCUUCAAAAGGCAGCAUAUAAGGCUGUCAAUUACGACAAACUAAAAGAGACCACUUGUAACAAAGAUGAAAAUUCUGCUCAGUUUAUGGCCCAUCUAGCUGCUGCCCUCAGGCAAUAUAGAGCAUUAGAACCUGAAGGGCCUGAAGGCUACCAUAUUCUUAACAUGCAUUUUAUCACCUUAUCAGCCCCUGACAUUACAAAAAGCUACAGAAAUUAGAGUCUGGCCCUCAAACGCCACAACAGGAACUAAUCAACCUCGCCUUCAAGGUGUUCAACAAUAGGGAAGAAGGAAAACUGCAGAUGUUUGCUUCUGCUGUAAAACAAACACCAGCCACACCACAGGCCCCAAAAAACUUCAAAGCACCCAGACUGCAGCGUCCAGCUGCCCCUCUGGACCUUGCUUCAAGUGUAAAAAACCUGGCCACUGGGCCAAGGAAUGCCUGCAGCCCAGGCUUCCUCCUACGCCCUGCCCCGUCUGUGCAGGCCCCCGCUGAAGUCAGACUGUCCAACUCAUAUCGCUGACCCCAGAGCUCCUGGAGCUCCAACCGGAAGCUCCCUGACCAAGCCAUUCCCAGAUCUCCUCGGUUUGGUGGCUGAAGACUGAUGCUUCCCAAACAUCUUGCAGGCUUCUUGGAUCAUCGCAGACCCCGAACUUCAGCACCCCAACUGCUGUCCAAUUGCAAGAGCCCCCCGGGGAGUACACCACUCCAGGGUAAAGCUGUGUCCACCGGAUAAGCAGCCUGACUCUUCCACCUCUUCUUGGAAGUUGCAAGGACUCUCCCAACUUCUCUAAAACUUACCCGAAUUCCUGAAGAGAAUUAAAUGCCCUGGUCCUGCCUACCUUGCUGCUUCACCCUCUUCCUCCACUGUUUGCCAAGAAAUUUCCUGAUUCCACCCCCAGGCUACCACCCUUAACUCUCUUCUAGAGUGGAUAGAUGACCUUGUUUUCUAAGGCACCCUGUGUGUCUUCUCCCCCAAUGAAGUACAACUGUUUACCUUCCCCCUCA